CUACGGGUCGCUGCAGUGGGGAAUUUUGGACAAUGGGGGCAACCCUGAUCCAGCAACGCCGCGUGAGGGAUGAAGGUUCUCGGAUUGUAAACCUCUUUUACAGGGGACGAAUCACGCCGUGAAUAACGGCGAAUGACGGUACUCUGUGAAUAAGCCACGGCUAACUACGUGCCAGCAGCCGCGGUAAUACGUAGGUGGCAAGCGUUACUCGGAAUUACUAGGCGUAAAGCGCAGGUAGGCGGUUGGGCAAGUCCGUAAUGAAAUCUCCCGGCUUAACUGGGAGGGGUUUAGGGAUACUGCUUGACUCGAGUGUGGGAGAGGUAACUGGAAUUCCCGGUGUAGCGGUGAAAUGCGUAGAGAUCGGGAGGAACACCUAUGGCGAAAGCAGGUUACUGGACCAAUACUGACGCUGAGCUGCGAAAGCUAGGGGAGCAAACAGGAUUAGAUACCCCAGUAGUC
rnacentral:rRNA from 1 species